UACGUAGGGGGCGGGCGUUGUCCGGAUUUAUUGGGCGUAAAGAGCUCGUAGGCGGUUCGGUAAGUCGAAUGUGAAAUCUCCACGCUCAACGUGGAGGGGUCAUUCGAAACUGCCGUGACUUGAGUACGGUAGGGGAGUGUGGAAUUCCCGGUGUAGCGGUGAAAUGCGCAGAGAUCGGGAGGAACACCCGUAGCGAAGGCGGCACUCUGGGCCGAUACUGACGCUGAGGAGCGAAAGCUAGGGGAGCAAACAGG
rnacentral:rRNA from 1 species